AGACCAGAAGCCGAAUCAUCCAAAGCGGGUGCAGUAUGUGGAGAAAGGGGUGCUUGUCUCCUCCGUUUUCUCCUUAGGAAGACUUCACUGUUGGAGACCUUUCUUCUGAGUGCUGCCCUGGGGUGCUGUUCAAAAUCCAGGCGUCUCAUGAAUUAUGCUGCCAGAUCUAGGAGGAGCCAGUCCUCUUUGGAACUAGGUGAACUGGGCUAAUGAGAAACAGGCCCAUCUCAUCCGCCAGCCAGUUUGCUCCAGGGCCAGAGGAAAGCCGGGGCCUCUGGCUCCCACAUCCCAUGUGGCAACCAACCAUCAGGUUAUGCUUGGCUUUGCAACCAUCAGGAAAGGCCUCACGUCUGCCUAACUGCAAAACAAUUUGGUUGGCUUAUAAAUUGCUGCCUCUAUCAUGUGCUUCUGAAUUAAAAGGAACGGAUGGUUUUUAAAGGUUUAUCUGUUUCAUUAUUGAUGCAGAAUGACCUCGUGCUGACAAAUUUCGAUUUUCACACGGUUUCUUUGCUGAUGCAGUAUCUCUGCCACCCAUGCUCUAGGGCAGCGUGGAGCCACUUCAGAGCAUGGCUUUUGUGAGCCAGCGCCCAGCAGGGUGUUCUUUUCUGAGUGCAAAGAGAGAAUCCACUGACCUCAUUUGCUUCCAUCCUGUGAACCUCUCAGUGUGUUUCAGAACACCAGGGUCUGAACAGAGAAGCUUCAGAAUACUUUCUCCGACUAGAGAACUUUUUUAUGGUGGGAGGAAAAAAUGUUGCCAGUCCCACUUCACAGACACCUGGAAUUCAUGAAGUCUGAGGACUUCUUUCAUUUUACUUUCAACUAAAAGCUCUAGCACGAAACAGCAAAGGCUCACAGAACUAAAGAUCAGGAGGUGGCCCUGUGAGAGGGUGUUCAGCCUGGAUCCCUGGUGAAACUCCAUCAUUGAGCAGCAUAUCUACUUCAGAAAGCGUGGAAAGAAAAGAGCCUGGUGGGAAAAGUCUAUCAAGUGAUAGUGACGUGCCCUUAUGGAAAAAAUUCUGGGAUAACACCCUCCAAAACCCCGCAAGGUGAAGCUCAUGUCAUCCAAAACCAAGGCAUGAGCCAGAGCCUAAAUAGAGGAAAGAAAAUAGAAGAGAGAAUUCUAGCGACAUAUCUGGUCAUCAUUCCAAGCAACCUGGCUGAACUUUUGCAUCGACAAACAAUUUUUUCUUGAGCAUUUUUAAAUUUACAAGCUGGUUUUCAACAAAGCUUUUCAAAAAGAAGUCUUUAUGAUGGUAAAUCUUUAAAAGAAAUGUGUUUUAGACCAAGAAAGGCAAACCUUUCAUGUCCUGUUUAGUCUCUAGCAUGCUUGUUUUCAAAACACAAGCUCCAGUCUGCAUGUUUCUGCAGUCAACUGUCUGUCUUAGAAAAUAUCUCAAAAUCAAUCUGUCCCCGUGUUUGCUUAUGAUUCUGCGGUAAUCCUCUGUUUGUAGUCACAAGUUGUCAGGAGAACAUCAUGUAAGGCAUGGUAUGAAGACUUAAGAAAUCUUGAAAUCAGAAACUUCAAUUUUCUUUCUCUUGAAGUGUUUCUAAGGGAUGAAAAAUGAGAAAGGAAAUUAGCAUCUACUGUUACCUCAUUUAAUUCCUUCAACCAUCUUCAGGGUAUUAUUGUCUCCAAAAAGAAACCAAGGUUCAGAGAAGAGGACUCACUUGCCCUGUGACCUAUGACCAGGGGUCCCACGUUGGGACCCAGAAUUCUGACUCGAACCCAGUGCUGGCUCCCCUGUGUCCCAGGGAUGGGCAGGAUAAGAUGUUCUUUAAAACUUUGUUUGUUGGGCACCUCAAAAAACCCUUAUGAAUUAUUGCUUAAGUUAUUUUGGCAUAAUAACGUCACUAAGUCCAUGGAAAAUUAAACUUUUAGAAUCUCUGUUAUAUGGCUAGAUCAAUACUAAACUACCCCUUUUUUUCCAAGUCCCUGGAAAAAGUGAAAUUAUAAGUUUUGACUACAUGGGAGGGCUUUGGUGCCUCAUACACUUGCAUUAAAUGCAGUAUCCUUGAAAAUAAUAGAAUAUGUAUUUGUGAGAGUAAAAAUUUAUACAUGCAGCAGUCCAUAAGAGAAUUAGAUCUAGAAAGUACAACUUGAAAGAGUUCUAAACUCUUAGAACAAAUUGAUUUAAAUUUGAAUAGUACUGAAUAUGAAUUGAUGGAAAGUGAAUAUUUAGAACCCCCUUUUGUGAAUUUCAGUAAGCUGACAUUUGUUAGCUCCUGACGCAGUAGCUUUUCUGAGUCAAGAACUGAAGGUACCUUGAAUUACCUGACAGAUAAUCAUACAGAGAUGUGAAGUCAAAUGUCAUAUUCCAUUAAGCCUAAUCUGCAGUUGCAGGAAGGGUGGACAAUCUUGCCUAAACAUUUGACAGAUUUGGAAUGUCUCUUGCCAUAGACAUUUAGCAUGAACCAGCUUCAUUGUCCUAGUAUCUGUCACACAGAAAUGGUCCCUUGCUCGGCUUCUAAUGGAUUUGCUGCAAAGGCUGUGAGGAAUGAGUCACACUCAGGGACACGAUGACACAGGAACAGCUUCUACAACACAAUCCUCUGCAAUAGGGAAAGCUGUGCCUCUCCCCAGGGACCUGCCUAUAAAGUUGGUCUUCUUUCCACUAAGGAGGCAUUCCUGAGAGCCCCCCAUAAAUUAAGGAGAACUUCUCUAGGUAACUACUAAAAAAUAAGGCCAACAAACUAAAUCCUUGGGAUAUGAAAUAUUAAUGUGAUGGGAAUUACCUUAAUAGGAAACAAUUGAGUAUACACUGUAUUACAUAAGUGAGGCUUAAAAAAAAAAUAACAUUGAGUUCCGGGCAUUUUUUUUCUUCCUUGGAAAAUGCCUUGAAAUCUUUUCCAUCAACACAGUCUAACAGUACAGGUUAUGGGUGACAUAUAGUUUCAAGGCAAAUUGCAGCUUAGUUGGUCAAACUCUUUCAGUAGGAAAAAAAAUGACAAUUUGAAAGAGUUCUGGAAGGGCUAACACUAAACAGUUCCAUCUUGACCUCAAACCAACGCAAUCUGCAAACAAGUCAAUAUGUGAACCCAAAGGAAGAUUCUGCCCCAGCCUAAGAAAGGGACAACUUUUCCUUCUCUGGAAUCGAAAUGUUCCAUGAAAUUAAAUCAUUGAUUAAAAGCUGGGGAGGCAAAGACUGUUGAAAUGUCAGUUAAGAUACUUUAGGCUGCAAAUCUGAUUCACCAUUGCUUAAACGAUAAGAAAUGGUAUCUGCACAGCUGGAAGUCCAGGAUGGGAUGGCUUCAAGUUUGGCUCUAUCCAGGGACUGUCUCUCAAUCUUCUGUUUAGUGGGUGUUGUCCUAGGCUGGCUUCACUCAAGGGGAUAAAAAUAAGUAUGGUCCUCCCAGGCCUUAUAUCCAUCUACACAACAUCCUGGGGAAGAGGUUUCUGGAACCUCUAGUACUAAUCCAUAUACCAUGGGAAUAACAGGUACUGAUUGGCUUCAACCUGAAUUCCUUAAAUUAAUCUUUGUGAAAAGGAGGCUGGGAUGACCUUGAUUGAGUUAAAAUAGUCAGGGUUCCACCUGUGGAGUGGAGGAUGAGAUCAGUUUCCUACAAUCCACAUCCUACACAAUGGGUGAGGGAUGGAAGGAAUGCUGGAGACUACCACAUACCCGCCGAUAUUCAUGAUAUCUUGGUCUUUUGUGUUUCACAAUAAACUCUUAAGAACAUUGUGA